rnacentral:rRNA from 1 species
UACGUAGGUGGCGAGGGUUGUCCGGAUUUACUGGGCGUAAAGCGCGCGCAGGCGGCAGGUUAAGUAAGGUGUGAAAUCUCCCUGCUCAACGGGGAGGGUGCACUUUAGACUGACCAGCUAGAGGGCGGUAGAGGGUGGUGGAAUUGCUGGUGUAGCGGUGAAAUGCGUAGAGAUCAGCAGGAACACCCGUGGCGAAGGCGGCCACCUGGGCCGUACCUGACGCUGAGGCGCGAAGGCUAGGGGAGCGAACGGG